rnacentral:rRNA from 1 species
GAUGAACGCUGGCGGCGUGCCUAAUACAUGCAAGUCGAGCGAACGGACGAGGAGCUUGCUUCUCUGACGUUAGCGGCGGACGGGUGAGUAACACGUGGAUAACCUACCUAUAAGACUGGGAUAACUUCGGGAAACCGGAGCUAAUACCGGAUAAUAUAUUGAACCGCAUGGUUCAAUAGUGAAAGACGGUUUUGCUGUCACUUAUAGAUGGAUCCGCGCUGCAUUAGCUAGUUGGUAAGGUAACGGCUUACCAAGGCAACGAUGCAUAGCCGACCGGAGAGGGUGAUCGGCCACACGGGAACUGAGACACGGACCAGACUCCUACGGGAGGCAGCAGUAGGGAAUCUUCCGCAAUGGGCGAAAGCCUGACGGAGCAACGCCGCGUGAGUGAUGAAGGUCUUCGGAUCGUAAAACUCUGUUAUUAGGGAAGAACAUAUGUGUAAGUAACUGUGCACGUCUUGACGGUACCUAAUCAGAAAGCCACGGCUAACUACGUG